GUCUAAUUGAUUAUAUAAAUAAUUGUAAAACUGCAGUACGACAAGAAAAUAGAGCUGGAUCAUUCAUAAUGAGAGUUGUAAGCUGGUAAUAAAAAACAACUACAAGACAAAAAAUAUUGGUAAAUCAUGACACCAAAGCAACAAUUGAUCUUCACUCAGUACACAUUUAACUGGUAGAAUUACAAGUCUUGCACAUUCAAACCUGCAAAAGUGAAACAUAUACGUAAGUAGGAUGACCUAAACUCAAAUUUCUACAUCUUGAUGAUCAAUUCAUAAGUUAUUCCUAGCAGUGGGAGAAAAACAACAGAAACCCUAUGAAAUGGAAGAGCAUGCAAUAUUCUCCCAUAUCUAUUUGGCCAUUACACAAUCCUAUUAUUUACUUUUAUAGAUUCCAUUUUAAAAAAUUAUUACAAAUUUAAGGUUCCAACCUAUAACAACCAACAGAAAUAAACAAUUAUGCAAUUCACUCGCCGCACAUAGAGUUGAAAAGUACUUGCACAUCCAUAACAUAUGACCAAAGAUAAUUCUCAACAACUAACCUGGAGGAAGUGAUUGCUUCAACUUAUCAGCUUUCUCAGUAUCAAACACACAAAGUGUGUACAAGUACUUGGAGCAUCGAACCUUGAACUUGACAACAUCUUUGCUUCUCUUGAUUUUCACGGAGCGUGCAUCCUUCCUCCUAGCAGUUAGGAGGAAGUCCUUAAUCUCGUUGAUUUGCUUAGGCUACAUUUCAAUAAAAUGAACCAUUUUCAAAUCACAGUACAGAAAUCCAAAUAAAUAAAAAAUAAAAAUUGAACAAUCAAAACAAAGCAUUUUCAUUCCCUAUAUCAACUACCAAGUUUGAAAAUCAAAACCCAUAAAUUCCCUAACUCAGAUCAGUGUAUACUAAACUCCAUUGUUUCAAUUUCAUGGUUCAAAUAGACCUAAAAUUGAGUAAAUAAAAUUCAUAGGAGCAAAAAAUCAAAUUAUCUAAGCUAAUCAUGAAUCAAAUACAAUGAAAAUCAAAAUAGGAUAAUGUUAAGAUUCUUCCAAUUUCCUACAAAAAAUUGUGAAUUGAAAGAAAUAUACACAAACAAUGCAAAGAAUCAAUGGAGAUAGAGAAAAGUACCAUUUUUUGUCUUCGCUGCGAUUUCCUCUUCCUCCCCAAAAAUC
rnacentral:lncRNA from 1 species